UAAAAUUUUUAUCCACAAAUCGGUUAUCGUUUGUAAGUAUGUCUUUUAGAUUUUUACAUGAAAUGGUCAAACAAUUACUCUGGUGCUAACGAAAGGCAUGUAUGUAUGUACGGACAAUUAAUUGAUUCGUGGCAUGCAACCCGUGUUUUUCUACAUGUUGCAUUAUUGUCUAGCCGAUUAACUCCUCAAUCGCUAGGCGGCACCCCCCCUGUUGAUCCCGAUUGACGUAAGUUGGGUUUUAUUUAUCCUUGUUUGUUGAAGGUAUGAUGGAGGAUAUACUUGGAGUUGUCUGAAUAAAUUAGUUUGCACAAAUAAGAUAUGUUUAGAGACAUUAUGUGUGAAUGGUGGGAGGUGUCAUGCAUAUUUGUAUCUUUCUUGUAAUGGAAAGAUGAGUGAGAAUAAUAGGUCAUAAUGGCUCGGUCGAC
rnacentral:lncRNA from 1 species